GACGAACGCUGGCGGCGUGCUUAACACAUGCAAGUCGAACGGAAAGGCCCUGCUUGCCGGGUACUCGAGUGGCGAACGGGUGAGUAACACGUGGGUGAUCUGCCCUUCACUUCGGGAUAAGCUUGGGAAACUGGGUCUAAUACCGGAUAGGAGCCAUCUUUAGUGUGGUGGUUGGAAAGUUUUUUCGGUGUAGGAUGAGCUCGCGGCCUAUCAGCUUGUUGGUGGGGUAAUGGCCUACCAAGGCGGCGACGGGUAGCCGGCCUGAGAGGGUGUACGGCCACAUUGGGACUGAGAUACGGCCCAGACUCCUACGGGAGGCAGCAGUGGGGAAUAUUGCACAAUGGGCGCAAGCCUGAUGCAGCGACGCCGCGUGGGGGAUGAAGGCCUUCGGGUUGUAAACUCCUUUCGCUAGGGACGAAGCUUUGUUGUGACGGUACCUAGAUAAGAAGCACCGGCUAACUACGUG
rnacentral:rRNA from 1 species